AAGACUAUACUUUCAGGGAUCAUUUCUAUAGUUAUUGACUUGAGAAAUGUGCUUCUAAACUGUAUGGUCUCGCUAACCACGAUGAUGAGUUUGUGAUACUCCUUCCUGAGCGCGAAGCGGGUUAAGAGAGAUGAUUCAGUUCAUGUGCUCUUAACCAUUGAUGACCGUUCACUGUUUCCUAGGGAACAGCGAAGGAAGGAGUAUGUUCAGAGUGGUU
ensembl:snoRNA